rnacentral:rRNA from 1 species
GGAAUAUUGGACAAUGGACGGAAGUCUGAUCCAGCCAUCCCGCGUGCAGGAUGAAGGCGCUACGCGUUGUAAACUGCUUUUGUACAGGAAGAAACGCCUGGAUUUAUCUGGGCCUGACGGUACUGUAAGAAUAAGCACCGGCUAACUCCGUGCCAGCAGCCGCGGUAAUACGGAGGGUGCAAGCGUUAUCCGGAAUCACUGGGUUUAAAGGGUGCGUAGGCGGCUAAAUAAGUCAGAAGUGAAAGCCUGCGGCUUAACCGUAGAAUUGCUUUUGAUACUGUAUAGCUUGAAUUAGGUUGAGGUUGGCGGAAUGUGACAUGUAGCGGUGAAAUGCAUAGAUAUGUCAUAGAACACCAAUUGCGAAGGCAGCUGACUAGACCUUAAUUGACGCUGAGGCACGAAAGCGUGGGGAGCGAACAGGAUUAGAAACCCGGGUAGUCC